rnacentral:tRNA from 1 species
GCCGGUGUAGCUUAGAGGUAGAGCGUUGCACUUGUAUCUCCGCGAAAUGCAAAGGUCGCCAGUUCGAGUCUGGUUAUCGGCA